CUGAGUGAGGGCCCUCUGGGUCCAACCUCCCACCCGUGUUUAUUGUACCUUGUUGCUUCGGCAGGCCCGCCUCACGGCCGCCGGGGGGCUUCUCGCCCCCGGGCCCGCGCCUGCCGGAGACACCUUUGAACGCUGUCUGAAGUUUGCAGUCUGAGCGAUUAGCUAAAUUAGUUA
rnacentral:misc_RNA from 2 species